UGCUGUUCCCCGGUGUCAAGAUGUAGCGGCGGCUCCGCACCAGGAACUUGACCUCCUGCUUUUGCGGCCUCCGCUGUUCCUGAUCUCGGCCAGCUUCGUCCCUCCGUUGCACAACGACUUCUGCCGUUAGCUCUACUCCAACCGCGAUUCAGAGACGGAGGACCACGGUCCUGAUGCGGAUGUGGCUGCGGCUCUCGUUGACGUCACAAAGAUUGGCGAAGCCGCUGUGCAGGCUGCCCAGCAUGAUGUUGAGGUUGCCGAUUGAGCUAUUGCCAUCCUAGACAAUCAUGGCGCCGACCUGGAUGAAGAUGUCGCGCACGGUGAUUCUCACGGAAUUUCAAACUAUUCAAGAACUCUGAUGCGUACAUCUGAUCUCCAUCUUCUGUAUUGGACAUUGCUUUGCACACCGUAUCUGAGCUUCGGUCGAGACACAAUUUUGUCAAUGUCAGUUGAGUCUGGGAACACGACCAUUUGUUCAUCUGGAAGAUGGAACUGCAAUCUCUGUACAGAAGGUUGUCGAUGCUGAAGUUCAAAUCCAAAUAUGCGCCAAGAUGCUUCGCCUGCAGAUAGGUACCGUGCAUCAAGGCCGCUAUAUAGCUCCGUCCUAAGUGUGCCUUGAUGCGUCUUGUACCAAUUCAGUCUCCACUGCUCAAUGCAUGUUGCUGCGUCUACUAUGAACUGAAGGAACAACUUGCCACUCAUUUGCAGGACCACCGAUUGAUUUAGUCGCUGCUGGAUACGAUAUGCAUAAUACUCCAUCAUGGUAACAUGCUUUCUUUUUCCUGUGCAACCCUUUAUGGGUUCCAAUUCUAUUUCUGGUCUGAAACCGUCUUCUCCAUAAGGGAAUAACAAUGGGUAUUGCAUAGACAUAAAGCUUGGAUGAAGUUCAGAAAUUCUCUGGAGUUGUUUGUCUUUGUUUUCUACUAUUAUAUCACGUUCAAAACUUUCUCCGGUUUGUUCCCCAACUAUCAGUGCAGCUAUUUCUGAUGCAGUUGGUAGGUUGUAUUGUCUUCCAUCGUUUGAUCUUUUACCGAUUAACCGCAACCUAACACUUUCCAGAUCUGAUUGCUUGUACCUAUCCCUUGCCAUGCGAAAUGAUUUCACUAACUCAUUGUGCUCAUCAAGCAUUUCCAGUAAUCCAGAGACAAUUCCUUCAUCCAGCUGUGUUUUUCUUUCCUUUGACGUUGAUGCCUGCAUUCUGUUCUUUACCUCAUUCUCGGUAUCACAAAUGUACAACUGAGCAAACUUUGGACUUCCUUUAUCUUUAGGUAGCAGUGUGCCAAUUUUAUGAUAGUUUGCACCAUUCA